CUCCGCGGGAUCCCGCAGCGCUCCUGUAUCUCAGCCUGAAGAGCUCCGAGACCAGAAUCCAGACUCAGUCCAGGACAACACGGUCCACCAGUCACAGCGGAGACCUGCAGGACGAUGGAGAACCAGAACCCGGACCACAGGAGCCAAACAGCAGCCUCGUGCUCUGAUAGCACCGAUGUUCAGAGAAGAAGAGAUGGACUCAAACGUCAUCGCUGUCAGCACUGUGACAAAUCCUUCGCAACAUCUGGAUAUUUGAAGAUUCAUCAAAGAGUUCACACUGGAGAGAAACCGUACAGCUGUGACCUGUGCGGGGAAGCUUUCACUACAUCAGGUGCCCUAAAAAACCACAGACGUGUUCACACUGGAGAGAAACCUCACUGGUGUGAACAGUGUGGGAAAACUUUCACUCGAGCAGGUCACCUAAAAAUCCACCAACGUGUUCACACUGGAGAGAAACCUCACUCGUGUGAACAGUGUGGAAAAACUUUCACCACAUCAAGUCACCUAAAAAACCACUUGCGUGUUCACACUGGACAGAAACCGUACUGGUGUGAACAGUGUGGAAAAACUUUCGCUCUGUCAGGUGACUUAAAAACCCACCAACGUGUUCACACUGGAGAGAGACCACACUGGUGUGAACAGUGUGGAAAAACUUUCACUACAUCAAGUAACCUACAAAACCACUUGCGUGUUCACACUGGACAGAAACCGUACUGGUGUGAACAGUGUGGAAAAACUUUCGCUCUAUCAGGUCACCUAAGAAAGCACCAACUUGUUCACACUGGAGAGAAACCUCACAGGUGUGAACAGUGUAUAAAAACUUUCACUCGAUCAUGUCACCUAAAAACUCACCAACGUGUUCACACUGGAGAGAAACCGUACUGGUGUGAACAGUGUGGAAAAGAUUUCACUCGAUCGGGUGACCUAAAAAUCCACCAACGUGUUCACACUGGUGAGAAACCGUACUGGUGUGAACAGUGUGGAAAAACUUUCACUCAAUCAGGUAACCUAAAAAUCCACCAACGUGUUCACACUGGUGAGAAACCUUACUGGUGUGAACAGUGUGGCAAAUCUUAUACAAACAGGAGAACUCUUAGAAGACACAAAUGCAUACACAAAGCAUUUAAAGUAAGCACAGUGAGCAUUGUACAAUCCUGAGUCAAAUUCCUCAUAUGUGUACACAUAUCUGGCAAAGAAAGCUGAUUCUGAUCAUUUUGACGUUUUUCACAGAGCCGAGCUAGCAAUUAAAUUGCAGUAGCCAGAUUUUAACCAGUAGAGGGCAGUCACUGUAUUUUUAUAGCACUAUAUGUAAUUCAAAUCGUUUACUUACUGAUAGCUGGAACCAGUCCAUGCGGACUGGUCACGGGGUGUGGCCGUAACGUUAACACACACUCAGCGCUACUGGCAAAUGUAAAUGCCAAUUACUAUCUGUGACACGUCCCUUUCUAGCUUUACAGAAACACAAACAUAUACCAUAGACUGUAUCUAAAAAAACUUAUAUGGAGACAAAUAGCAUUGCAUUUUCUGUUUCAUGGAAACUUUCUGCUUAAAGUAAUCCCUAUUCCCUGACUUUUCUAAAUGUACCUGUAAUCUGAUUAUGUCUUUUUUUCUUGUACUGUAACUAUAUACAGUUACGUUUUUUGUAUCCUCAUUACCUAAUCUGUUACUCCCCCACCCUGAGGGAAAAUUCGGGAGGUCACUAAUGGAAAAGUUGGAUGACAGUUUCUUGGUAUACAACGGACCUGCAAGAACUCCCAGAGCAUAAACAACGAUGGGUGAGAGCUAACUCUGACAACCUAAGCCAGUUUAGUGAAUCACAACCUGACUGUGGCUAGGAGAACCUGAUACCACUGUCUUUUAAGGAACAUCUCAUGAGCUCUGGUUUCCAUCAAGUGGAACUGAGGACUCGGAAGACGAAGGACAGAGAGACUGACUAUGCUAUGCUGAAUUUAAACGUAUAUUAAUUGAUAAAUUAUGUGUCCAUAACCACAUAUUAAAUAACGUGAGGUUUUAAGUUAACAUGCUGAACUGGCUGCAGGACUGUGGAAUAAAUAUUGCCCCAAAUGUA